GUCUACGGCCAUGCCACCCUGAACAAGCCCGAUGUCUGCUCUUGGAAGCUAAGCAGGGUUGGACCUGAUUAGUACUUGUAUGAGAGACCACCUAGGAAGACCAAGUGCUACAGGCA
rfam:Pteropus alecto contig169162, whole genome shotgun sequence.